ACUCUCAAACAGUUUCUAAAACAUCCUACAAAAUGAGUCUCUCCAAAAAAAUUAUAGUAAUCGCAUUUGUUUUCACUCUUUUCUUCGCGAUGCCAAUUGUUCGCUGCACCGAUAUUGUUUCAGAUUUCGGAGUUAAAAAAGUGUAUCAUAUAUGCUAUGGUCCAUGUGACGACAAAGGAGUGUGUGAGAAGUAUUGUCAUACCAAAAGCGGUCUGAUAAGGGGCGACUGUGUUGAUCGCAUUUGUUGUUGUGAACACUAAAUAAAAUAUUAGAUAUUAGAUCUUGUAUGAAAUGAAAUAAUAUUACCAAUAAUACAUAAAAUGCUUUUACAAAAAAAAUAUAUAUAUUAUCAAAUUGAAGUUACUUUGAUUA